GACGAACGCUGGCGGCGUGCUUAACACAUGCAAGUCGAACGGAAAGGCCCUGCUUUUGUGGGGUGCUCGAGUGGCGAACGGGUGAGUAACACGUGAGUAACCUGCCCUUGACUUUGGGAUAACUUCAGGAAACUGGGGCUAAUACCGGAUAGGAGCUCCUGCUGCAUGGUGGGGGUUGGAAAGUUUCGGCGGUUGGGGAUGGACUCGCGGCUUAUCAGCUUGUUGGUGGGGUAGUGGCUUACCAAGGCUUUGACGGGUAGCCGGCCUGAGUGGGUGGCCGGCCACAUUGGGACUGAGAUACGGCCCAGACUCCUACGGGAGGCAGCAGUGGGGAAUAUUGCACAAUGGGCGGAAGCCUGAUGCAGCAACGCCGCGUGCGGGAUGACGGCCUUCGGGUUGUAAACCGCUUUCGCCUGUGACGAAGCGUGAGUGACGGUAAUGGGUAAAGAAGCACCGGCUAACUACGUG
rnacentral:rRNA from 1 species